rnacentral:lncRNA from 1 species
UUAUUGUCAGGAUGUCUUGUCUAAGAUACAGUUACUCUGAUCCCUUCCUUCAUUAUUUACAAAUUGAGUAGACUUUUUAAAAAGAAAAAAACUGUCCCUGUGUUCUGCCUUUAGAAAACUACUGCACUCAAAUAUCACACUUAUGGACAACUUUUCAGAAUAUCAAAUUGAGAGAAAUUGAUGUGUGAAUCAAAUGACGGCUUAUGAUUUUUCUGUUGGCAUUGCACCAAGUAACCUGUGCCUACCUAGUUCCCACAAUAAAGAAUUAGCAAUGGAUAUCACCAAAAAGUCUUUUACCACAGAUUCCACAACCAACUUACAUUCUACUAAAAUACCUUAUUCAUGUGUAACUAAAGAUUAAAAAGUUCUUUUAUGAAUUACUUGGACACUUAACAGUUUAUCUGUUUGCAUAACCCCUCAUGUUCUAUGGGAUCCUACUUCCAGUAACUCAUUAUUUGGGAGUGACCUCUCUAAAAAGAUUUUUGUUGUAGAAAAUCGAACUGAAAACUGUCUCAAGAUAUUUGGGGAUGAUGACAAUAUAUUUUAUAAAGUUACUCAAAAAAAGGUCUGAUGACAUAAAGAUGCCUUCAGGUUCACUAAAAACUGUUCAUAAAUCUUGUGCUAUGAAAGAAGCCAUAGGUAACCACAGUGAGAAAACUUUCUCUAAUGAUAAUGCUGAAGAAUUAAAGAUUACAUCUGCUGCCCCUCAGAAGAAAGGUCCUACAGACAGCAGUGCACAACAGAGCAACUUCCACAUAUUGUAUGUAACGGUGUGAUCAAGUGGUAGAGGAUGACUGACGAAGGUUCCAGCCCAUUCUUUUUCAAUGAGCCUUUGCACCUCCCGCUUAGCCAUAGAAGACUAUAUUAUUACAAGACACUCCUGUUAUUAUAUUUUACUAUAUUAUUGAUUACAAAUAGUUUUCACUUAUUAUGUUUAUUUUCUGCUGUAUAUUACACAUUCUUUAUUAUAAUAGUAAAUGUUAUUAAACUACAUUAUUGCUUAGAUUCCAAUGUGCCUUGAUUCUCCACAGUCUUUGGGAAAUGGCAUUUUUCAAUCUUCUCCUCUAACUCAGUUACUCAGAGACCUGCAUUCAUGAGGUAGAUCCACUAGCAUCACUUCAUUAGUCUUUUCUUCCAAAAUAAUACAAAACAGCAGAAGUGAUCCUACGUUAUGCAUAAGAAAUGAAAGCUGGGAAUUUAUCUAACCAAAUUCUCCCAGAUUCUUACCACAAAACAGUCCCAAUGGCUAAUAAUCAACUAAUUAGGUGUAUCAUAAAAUCAGCCUCACUCCUGUACAUUAUAGAAACACUUUAUUUUAAAUAAAUAUUAUUAGAAUAAUAUUUAUAUGUCA